rnacentral:rRNA from 1 species
GCUUACACAUGCAAGUCGAACGGUGAAGCAGAGCUUGCUCUGUGGAUCAGUGGCGAACGGGUGAGUAACACGUGAGUAACCUGCCUUUAGCUCUGGGAUAACCCCGGGAAACCGGGGCUAAUACCGGAUACGACCAAUCAAGACAUCUUGUGUUGGUAGAAAGUUUUUCGGCUAAAGAUGGACUCGCGGCCUAUCAGCUUGUUGGUGAGGUAACGGCUCACCAAGGCGACGACGGGUAGCCGACCUGAGAGGGUGUACGGCCACACUGGGACUGAGACACGGCCCAGACUCCUACGGGAGGCAGCAGUGGGGAAUUUUGCGCAAUGGACGAAAGUCUGACGCAGCGACGCCGCGUGAGUGAAGAAGGCCUUCGGGUUGUAAAGCUCUUUCGCAAGGGAAGAAAACUUAUGAUCGAAUAAAUCAUGAGGUUGACGGUACCUUGAUAAGAAGCACCGGCUAACUACGUGCCAGCAGCCGCGGUAAUACGUAGGGUGCGAGCGUUAAUCGGAAUUACUGGGCGUAAAGCGUGCGCAGGCGGUUUUGUAAGUCGGAUGUGAAAUCCCCGGGCUCAACCUGGGAACUGCGUUCGAAACUGCAGGGCUAGAGUGUGUCAGAGGGGGGUAGAAUUCCACGUGUAGCAGUGAAAUGCGUAGAGAUGUGGAGGAAUACCAAUGGCGAAGGCAG